rnacentral:rRNA from 1 species
UACGUAGGGUGCAAGCGUUGUCCGGAAUUAUUGGGCGUAAAGAGCUCGUAGGCGGUUUGUCGCGUCUGCUGUGAAAACUCGGAGCUUAACUCCGAGCCUGCUUCCGAUACGGGCAGACUAGAGGUAGGCAGGGGAGAGCGGAACUCCUGGUGUAGCGGUGGAAUGCGCAGAUAUCAGGAAGAACACCGGUGGCGAAGGCGGCUCUCUGGGCUGACACUGACGCUCAUGCACGAAAGCGUGGGGAGCAAACAGG